GUCUCCAAAUUUAGGCUGCCUUGAACUGAUCUUCUCUGACCUUGGAAGCUUAAGUAAGGCUGUCUUGCUAGUAUUUGGAUGGGUGGUUGCCUGGGAACACCAGAUGCUGUAGGCU
rnacentral:rRNA from 1 species